GAUGAACGCUGGCGGCGUGCCUAACACAUGCAAGUCGAGCGUGAACCCUGCGAAUGAAACUUCGGUCGAUUUUGCAGGGGGAAAGCGGCGGACGGGUGAGUAACGCGUAGGUAACCUGCCCCAUACUGAGGGAUAGCCUCGGGAAACCGGGAUUAAUACCUCAUAACACCGUAUAUUCGCAUGGAUGUGCGGUCAAAGAUUUAUCGGUAUGGGAUGGGCCUGCGUCUGAUUAGCUGGUUGGUGGGGUAACGGCCUACCAAGGCGACGAUCAGUAGCCGACCUGAGAGGAUGAUCAGCCACACUGGGACUGAGACACGGCCCAGACUCCUACGGGAGGCAGCAGUAGGGAAUAUUGGACAAUGGGCGCAAGCCUGAUCCAGCCAUGCCGCGUGAGGAAGAAGGCCCUCGGGUUGUAAAGCUCUUUUGCCGGAAAGAAAGCGUUGGGUUAAUACCCUGGCGUCCUGACGGUACCGGAGAAUAAGCACCGGCUAACUUCGUACC
rnacentral:rRNA from 1 species